rnacentral:rRNA from 1 species
GACGAACGCUGGCGGCGUGCUUAACACAUGCAAGUCGAACGGAAAGGCCCUGCUUUUGUGGGGUGCUCGAGUGGCGAACGGGUGAGUAACACGUGAGUAACCUGCCCUUGACUUUGGGAUAACUUCAGGAAACUGGGGCUAAUACCGGAUAGGAGCUCCUGCUGCAUGGUGGGGGUUGGAAAGUUUCGGCGGUUGGGGAUGGACUCGCGGCUUAUCAGCUUGUUGGUGGGGUAGUGGCUUACCAAGGCUUUGACGGGUAGCCGGCCUGAGAGGGUGACCGGCCACAUUGGGAAUGAGAUACGGCCCAGGCUCCUACGGGAGGGAGGAGGGGGGAAUAUUGCACAAUGGGCGGAAGCCUGAUGCAGCAACGCCGCGUGCGGGAUGACGGCCUUCGGGCUGUAAACCGCUUUCGCCUGUGACGAAGCGUGAGUGACGGUAAUGGGUAAAGAAGCACCGGCUAACUACGUG